AAUGAACGCUGGCGGCAUGCCUAACACAUGCAAGUCGAACGAGACCUUCGGGUCUAGUGGCGCACGGGUGCGUAACGCGUGGGAACCUGCCCUUAGGUUCGGAAUAACUCCCCGACAGGGGUGCUAAUACCGGAUAAUGUCUUCGGACCAAAGAUUUAUCGCCUUUGGAUGGGCCCGCGUUGGAUUAGCUAGUUGGUAGGGUAAAAGCCUACCAAGGCGACGAUCCAUAGCUGGGCUGAGAGGAUGAUCAGCCACACUGGGACUGAGACACGGCCCAGACUCCUACGGGAGGCAGCAGUGGGGGAUAUUGGAAAAUCGGCGAAAGCCUGAUCCAGCAAUGCCGGGUGAGUGAUGAAGGCCUUAGGGUUGUAAAGCUCUUUUACCCGGGAUGAUAAUGACAGUACCGGGAGAAUAAGCACCGGCUAACUCCGUG
rnacentral:rRNA from 1 species